rnacentral:rRNA from 1 species
GACGAACGCUGGCGGCGUGCCUAAUACAUGCAAGUUGAGCGCUGAAGGUUGGUACUUGUACCAACUGGAUGAGCAGCGAACGGGUGAGUAACGCGUGGGGAAUCUGCCUUUGAGCGGGGGACAACAUUUGGAAACGAAUGCUAAUACCGCAUAAAAACUUUAAACACAAGUUUUAAGUUUGAAAGAUGCAAUUGCAUCACUCAAAGAUGAUCCCGCGUUGUAUUAGCUAGUUGGUGAGGUAAAGGCUCACCAAGGCGAUGAUACAUAGCCGACCUGAGAGGGUGAUCGGCCACAUUGGGACUGAGACACGGCCCAAACUCCUACGGGAGGCAGCAGUAGGGAAUCUUCGGCAAUAGACGAAAGUCUGACCGAGCAACGCCGCGUGAGUGAAGAAGGUUUUCGGAUCGUAAAACUCUGUUGGUGGAGAAGAACGUUGGUGAGAGUGGAAAGCUCAUCAAGUGACGGUAACUACCCAGAAAGGGACGGCUAACUACGUG